AGAAAUCAAAAAUGAAAAUGUAAAUAAUAUUUUUAAAUUAUUUAAAAGUGACAUACAAGAAUGCAAUGCAUUUUUUGUUAAUGCUGAAGUUAAUGAAAACAUGAUAACAGUGGAUAUUUUUGAAGGAUUCGAAUCUUACAACGAAUUUGUGGAAUCCACAACAGCAUUGGGUAUGUU